GUGCUCAUUUUGGCAGCACAUACACUAAAAUUGGAACAAUAUGGAGAAGAUUAGCGUGGCCCCUGGGCAAGGAUGACAAGCAAAUUCAUGAAGCAUUCCUUAUUUUU